rnacentral:rRNA from 1 species
CACGUAGGGGGCGAGCGUUGUCCGGAUUUAUUGGGCGUAAAGAGCUCGUAGGCGGCUCGGUAAGUCGGGUGUGAAAUUUCGAGGCUCAACCUCGAAACGCCACCCGAUACUGCUGUGGCUAGAGUCCGGUAGGGGAGCGUGGAAUUCCUGGUGUAGCGGUGAAAUGCGCAGAUAUCAGGAGGAACACCAGCGGCGAAGGCGGCGCUCUGGGCCGGUACUGACGCUGAGGAGCGAAAGCCAGGGGAGCAAACGGG